rnacentral:rRNA from 1 species
UACGUAGGUGGCAAGCGUUGUCCGGAUUUAUUGGGCGUAAAGCGCGCGCAGGCGGUUCUUUAAGUCUGAUGUGAAAUCUCGCGGCUCAACCGCGAGCGGUCAUUGGAAACUGGGGAACUUGAGUGCAGAAGAGGAGAGUGGAAUUCCACGUGUAGCGGUGAAAUGCGUAGAGAUGUGGAGGAACACCAGUGGCGAAGGCGACUCUCUGGUCUGUAACUGACGCUGAGGCGCGAAAGCGUGGGGAGCGAACAGG